rnacentral:rRNA from 1 species
ACAGACUCCAGUUGUUAUUUCAAUGUAUUAGGUUUUAAUCCAUCGUUGAAUCUACUGGCAGGAAGUUGCAAAGUUUUGGCUCUGCCUAACAAACUUUUAUAACCACAAAGUUUGACCUCAAAUCAAGUAGGACUACCCGCUGAACUUAAGCAUAUCAAUAAGCGGAGGAAAAGAAACCAACAGGGAUUGCCUUAGUAGCGGCGAGUGAAGCGGCAAGAGCUCAAAUUUGAAAUCUGGUACCUUCGGUGCCCGAGUUGUAAUUUGAAGAAGGGUAUCUUGACUUUGGCCUUUGUCUAUGUUCCUUGGAACAGGACGUCACAGAGGGUGAGAAUCCCGUGCGAUGAGGUGUCCUUUGUCAUAUAAGAUUCCUUCGAAGAGUCGAGUUGUUUGGGAAUGCAGCUCUAAGUGGGUGGUAAAUUCCAUCUAAGGCUAAAUAUUGGCGAGAGACCGAUAGCGAACAAGUACAGUGAUGGAAAGAUGAAAAGAACUUUGAAAAGAGAGUGAAAAAGUACGUGAAAUUGUUGAAAGGGAAGGGUAUUAGAUCAGACUUGGUAUUUAGUUAUCAUCUCUCCUUGUGGGGGGUGCUCUAGCUGUUUACUGGGCCAGCAUCAGUUUUGGUGGCAGGAUAAUGACAUUUGAAUGUGGCUCCUUUGGAGUGUUAUAGCUUUUGUUGAUACUGCCUACUGGGACUGAGGUCUGCGGCUUUGCCUAGGAUGCUGGCGUAAUGAUCCAAUACCGCCCGUCUUGAAACAUGGACCAAGGAGUCUAACGUCUAUGCGAGUGUUU